AAUCAACGCUGGCGGCGUGCCUCAGACAUGCAAGUCGAACGAUUAAAGCUCUCUUCGGAGAGUGCAUAGAGUGGCGCACGGGUGAGUAACACGUAAGUAAUCUACCUUCGAGUGGGGAAUAACGUCCGGAAACGGACGCUAAUACCGCAUAAUGCAGCGGCAUCGUAAGAUGACAGUUGUUAAAGAUUUAUCGCUUGAAGAGGAGCUUGCGGCAGAUUAGCUAGUUGGUAAGGUAAUGGCUUACCAAGGCUACGAUCUGUAACCGGUCUUAGAGGACGGUCGGUCACACUGACACUGAAUAACGGGUCAGACUCCUACGGGAGGCAGCAGUCGGGAAUUUUGGGCAAUGGGCGAAAGCCUGACCCAGCAACGCCGCGUGAAGGAUGAAGUAUUUCGGUAUGUAAACUUCGAAGAAUAGGAAGAAUAAAUGACGGUACUAUUUAUAAGGUCCGGCUAACUACGUG
rnacentral:rRNA from 1 species